GACGAACGCUGGCGGCGUGCUUAACACAUGCAAGUCGAGCGGUAAGGCCCUUUCGGGGGUACACGAGCGGCGAACGGGUGAGUAACACGUGGGUGACCUGCCCUCAGCUCUGGGAUAAGCCUGGGAAACCGGGUCUAAUACUGGAUAUGACUCCAUGACGCAUGUUGUGGGGUGGAAAGCCUUGUGCGGCUGAGGAUGGGCCCGCGGCCUAUCAGCUUGUUGGUGGGGUGANGGCCUACCAAGGCGACGACGGGUAGCCGGCCUGAGAGGGCGACCGGCCACACUGGGACUGAGACACGGCCCAGACUCCUACGGGAGGCAGCAGUGGGGAAUCUUGCGCAAUGGGCGAAAGCCUGACGCAGCGACGCCGCGUGAGGGAUGAAGGUCUUCGGAUUGUAAACCCCUUU
rnacentral:rRNA from 1 species